CGCCCAGUGGCGGAGUGGUCAAACGCAUUUCCGUAUCAAGGAGACUGUUGUGGGUUCGAAUCCCGUCUGGCUGG
rnacentral:tRNA from 1 species